rnacentral:rRNA from 1 species
CCUACGGGAGGCAGCAGUGGGGAAUAUUGGGCAAUGGGCGCAAGCCUGACCCAGCAACGCCGCGUGAAGGAAGAAGGCUUUCGGGUUGUAAACUUCUUUUUAGAGGGAAGAGCAGAAGACGGUACCUCUUGAAUAAGCCACGGCUAACUACGUGCCAGCAGCCGCGGUAAUACGUAGGUGGCAAGGGUUGUCCGGAUUUACUGGGGGUAAAGGGCUUGCUGCCGGGAAGACAAGGCAGAUGUGAAAUCCCGCGGCUCAACCGCGGAACUGCAUUUGAAACUGGUUUUCUUGAGUACCGGAGAGGUCAGCGGAAUGCCUUGUGUAGCGGUGAAAUGCGUAGAUAUAAGGAAGAACACCAGUGGCGAAGGCAGAUGACGGGAUGGCAACUGACGGUGAGGCGCGAAAGCGUGGGGAGCAAACAGGAUUAGAUACCCCAGUAGUC